CCCGGGUCUGCAUUCGAUACGGGCUAGCUAGAGUGUGGUAGGGGAGAUCGGAAUUCCUGGUGUAGCGGUGAAAUGCGCAGAUAUCAGGAGGAACACCGGUGGCGAAGGCGGAUCUCUGGGCCAUUACUGACGCUGAGGAGCGAAAGCGUGGGGAGCGAACAGGAUUAGAUACCCUGGUAGUCCACGCCGUAAACGGUGGGAACUAGGUGUUGGCGACAUUCCACGUCGUCGGUGCCGCAGCUAACGCAUUAAGUUCCCCGCCUGGGGAGUACGGCCGCAAGGCUAAAACUCAAAGGAAUUGACGGGGGCCCGCACAAGCAGCGGAGCAUGUGGCUUAAUUCGACGCAACGCGAAGAACCUUACCAAGGCUUGACAUACGCCGGAAAGCAUCAGAGAUGGUGCCCCCCUUGUGGUCGGUGUACAGGUGGUGCAUGGCUGUCGUCAGCUCGUGUCGUGAUAUGUUGGGUUAAAUCCCGCAACGAGCGCAACCCUUGUCCUGUGUUGCCAGCAUGCCCUUCUGGGUGA
rnacentral:rRNA from 1 species